CAGCAAUUCAAACCCUUCCCUUCCUCUUCAACGUGCGACGACAAAACCCUACAGCCGCACCACCACGCGCAGCCCCUUUCCCUUCGAUUUGCUCGAUAACGGAAGCAUUCUCCUUCGAUUCCACCUUCGAGACUGGGUUCUUGAGCUUGAAUUGGGGUUUUUGGUUGGGAUAAAUUAGAUAGUCAAUUUGGUUGGUAGCUACAUCUGAAAAGCCUUCUAGCAAUGCAGACGAGAUGUCGGAAUCACAUGAAUCGAAUGCUGAGAAAUCGGAAUUGAAGCCAGCCGCUCAGGGAUUGACGAACAGAGAAGUGGAAGCGCAAUCUCUGAAAAUGAAGAAAACAUUGUGACAAAGUCUGAUAAAGUUUUUAAGGGCUUACAAGAUUUGUUUGAUCUCCCUACUUGAAGUUAAAGUACAAAACAAGUCAACAAAGCCCUUGUAUGGAUAUGUUGGUCAAAUACCAUUCAUCCCUCUUUAUGAAAGCAUGGGCUUUGAUUAUUCUAACACCCAUGAUGGAGUUAAAAGUUUUGUUGAUGUCAUGUGGCCUAACGGAAACGAAGCUUUCAGUGCAACGGUUCUAGCUUACAAUAGGCUGGUGGCUGAGUUGGAAGAAAUGGUGACAAGAAUGGUGUUUGAAACAUACGGCGUAGAGAAAUAUUUAGACGCGCAUAGGAAAAUGGUGACGUAUCUUUGUCGGGGCAUGAAGUACCGAGCACCAGAGAAAAACGAAACUAAUAUGGGCUUUGUUCCUCAUACCGACAUAGAUUUCAUCACUGUUUUGCAUCAGAAUGGAGAGAAUGGAGUCAACGGUUUAGAAGUCAAAGCAAGGGACGGCCGGUGAACCAAAUUGAUUUCUAUUUUAGUAAUGAGAACUUGGUCAGAGAUACAUACUUGAGGCGGAACAUGGAUGAACAGGGUUGGGUUUCUGUUGGCUUAAUAGCUGGUUUCAAAAAAGUUGGAUACGGGGCUAGUUUCAUCGAGUUCUUUGCAGAGGAGGCAAAGCGUGUUUAUGGUGAUAUAAUUCCGGCAUCGCUAGACAUCUUUUUGUUCUAAAGCAGGUUAGGGCUGCGAUAUCGACACUUAGGUAUCACGAACAAUAUCCACGGCUUCCAACUGAUUUUGAGGUAUUUCAUUUAGAUGUGGCACGACAUGAGAGGCUACGGAUGAUUGUAAUUUGACGGGCUUAUUUCCGAAGUUUUUUUAGAG